rnacentral:rRNA from 1 species
AACGAACGCUGGCGGCGGGCCUAACACAUGCAAGUCGAACGAGAAAGCACCUGCUUGCAGGAGCGAGUAAAGUGGCGCACGGGUGAGUAACGCGUGGUUAAUCUGCCUUUGAGUGGGGAAUAACGUACUGAAAGGUGCACUAAUACCGCAUAAGACCACAGUAUCUGCGGAUACAGGGGUCAAAGGGGGCUUCGGCUCCCGCUUAAAGAUGAGACCGCGUCCCAUUAGCUUGUUGGUGAGGUAACGGCUCACCAAGGCCGCGAUGGGUAGCUGAUUGGGGAGGCAGAUCAGCCACACGGGAACUGACACCCGGUGCAGACUCCUACCGGAGGCAGCAGUGAGGAAUAUUGCGCAAUGGGGGAAACCCGGACGCAGCCACGCCGCGUGGGUGACGAAGGCCUUCGGGUCGUAAAGCCCUGUCAGAUGGAAAGAAACCCCCAUGGGUUAAUACCCCAUGGGAUUGACGGUACCAUCAAAGGAAGCACCGGCUAACUCCGUGCCAGCAGCCGCCGUAA